rnacentral:rRNA from 1 species
AGGGUGCAAGCGUCGUUCGGAAUUAUUGGGCGUAAAGCGCGUGUAGGCGGCUUAGCAAGUCGGGUGUGAAAGCCCUCGGCUCAACCGAGGAAGUGCGCCUGAAACUGCAGAGCUUGAGUACCGGAGAGGAUGGCGGAAUUCCCCAAGUAGAGGUGAAAUUCGUAGAUAUGGGGAGGAACACCGGUGGCGAAGGCGGCCAUCUGGACGGAUACUGACGCUGAGACGCGAAAGCGUGGGGAGCAAUCAGGAUUAGAUACCCUGGUAGUCCACGCCGUAAACGAUGAGAACUAGAUGUCGUGGGUGUUGACCCCCGCGGUGCCGUAGCCAACGCAUUAAGUUCUCCGCCUGGGAAGUACGGCCGCAAGGCUAAAACUCAAAGGAAUUGACGGGGGCCCGCACAAGCGGUGGAGCAUGUGGUUCAAUUCGACGCAACGCGCAGAACCUUACCUGGUCUUGACAUCCUCGGAACCUGCCCGAAAAGGCGGGGUGCCCGCAAGGGAACCGAGAGACAGGUGCUGCGUGGCUGUCGUCAGCUCGUGUCGUGAGAUGUUGGGUUAAGUCCCGCAACGAGCGCAACCCUCGCCUUUAGUUGCCACGCAAGUGGAUCUCUAGAGGGACUGCCGGUGUUAAACCGGAGGAAGGUGGGGAU